ACGUAGUAGGUACGAGUUCCUGCGAUCCAAGGAAGAGGGCAUUCCUUCCUACCUCGUCGACCUAUAAAAGGAGGCCUCUCGCUCGCUUCUAUCUCUAUCACACGUACGGCCAACUUAACCAUCAGAGGUAGUUGAGCUACACACUUGCACACGCACUUCCAGCUGAAGGUAGACGAGCCUGCUCGCAUAGAUCCCAAGACCCCCGGAUUCAUCAAUGGAGAACAACGCCAGGAGCAACCCGCAGCCCCCGCCAGGCUAUCCGACGGUUGGUCCGGAUGGCAGCGACAAGAAGGGGUCGCGUCGCGCGAAGACGAGCAAGCAGCGUGGGGAGCCCAGCUUUAUCGAAGGAUGCAUUGCUGCGCUCUGCUGCUGCUGGCUCUGCGAUCUCUGCUGCGACUGAAGACCCUACCGGAACUGAUGGACCAGAGAUACACGAUAUGCACCAGAGAUGGAUUCGCGCAUGCGAUGUGUGAAAUUUCUUUAGUUUUGUCGAGUGGAGAAUAAUGUUGUUGGAGUUGUUCCAAAUUCACUCCAGGAUAAAAGCCGACCUUCCCGACCCUUUA